GCCGGUCGCGGUGGCACACGUCUGUAAUCCCAGCUGCUCAGGAGGCUGAGGCAGGAGGACUGAGAGUUUAAAGGCAGCCUCAACAAGGGUAAGGUGCUAAGCAACUCAGUGAGACCCUGUCUCUA
rnacentral:sRNA from 1 species